UACGUAGGGCGCGAGCGUUGUCCGGAUUUAUUGGGCGUAAAGAGCUCGUAGGCGGCUUGUCGCGUCGUUCGUGAAAACCCACAGCUCAACUGUGGGCUUGCGGUCGAUACGGGCAGGCUGGAGUUCGGUAGGGGAGACUGGAAUUCCUGGUGUAGCGGUGAAAUGCGCAGAUAUCAGGAGGAACACCGAUGGCGAAGGCAGGUCUCUGGGCAUUAACUGACGCUGAGGAGCGAAAGCAUGGGGAGCGAACAGG
rnacentral:rRNA from 1 species